CCCCACCUCACAUAUGCAGAGAUAAAAUAGUUCAGGUUUCUGCAUUAAUAUAGUCCCAAGACACCAAAUAGUUAGAAACUGUAAAAGUACGUAUGAUGGCAGCUGUGAAUGUGAUCAAGCUGACGUUGAUUCUUCUCACUGUAUUGAUAGUACAACCAUGCAUGCAAUAAGUGUCAACUGCAUGUGCUGUUGAAGAAGAUGGCCUUACAUGUCUGACUAGAAUGAUACCAAUCAGUAAUGAUACAUUCAGGAGAUGUGGAACUCUCACAUUAGAUUCAAAUCAAACAACUUUCUGCCACAAUGAUACAUGUCGAGACUAUUUCUCACAAGCCUACGAAACGUGUGUGGCCUAUAUGCAAUCCAGUUCAGUUGGAUAAGUUGCUAACCAUGCAUGCAUGAAUAAUUAUGACGCCCUCAUACUAUUUGUACAGCUUGCAAAGAAUCCGCAAUUGAAAACAAAAACUACAGCACCACACUUGAUUUAGAAUGUUUGUUUGUGGAAGCUGCUGGAGUGGGUUUGGGGGCAUGUCAGUCUAAAUUAAUAGAGGAAGGUCUUACAGCGUACUGUCUGGAUGAGAACUGCUCUUUUGUUGAGGAAGCCUACAAUAAGUGCGGAUUUGAUUGGCAUAGCUGUAAUCCUGUUCGAGAAACUUGCAAUAAGCAUUUCAGAUCUGUGCUGCCAGAAAUGCAACAGUGGAGGAAAACCAACUUCAUCAAUGGCUAGUAUUAUAUGAUUCUGAUAAUGGGUUCUGUGCUCAUGAUUAUUUGAGUAACACAUGCUCAAACUUUGAAGGAUCAGUCGUCACACUAUUCAACUUGUGUAUCAUGUGUUUUUGUAGAAUGAGAAUAGAACUUGAAUGUCUUUCUACAUUAUACAAACAACCACCAUGCAUGUUGGUUUACUUGUGAA